UGUCUUUAUUAGCAGCAUGAGAACAGACUAAUACACCAAGCUUUGUUUAAAUACUUCUAACAACGAGAAUUGCUACUUUUUGGAGUGGUCCAUGCCAUCUGCCAGAUAGUUUCAGCAGUUGUGGUAUUAGAAUUGCUCUUCAAAAAGGCUUCCUGAAGACCACAGUAGGAGCUAUCAAGAAGUUUCUGUGUUCUGGCUGCCACAUGGGGCCACAUGGUCUCAGGAAUUAAAAUCCUACUGUCCUCGUCUUCAUGGGAGUAAACAGGGCUGGACCCAUACAAGGGGUGUAGGUUGAAAACUGAAAGCUUAGGAAUGAACAUCAGAUUUCACAUGUGCAUUCAAAAUGAAUUAAUCAAUGUGGUGCUGAUAAGACAAAAGAUAGCCCCAUUAAGGAGAUUAAAUUAUAAUUAACAAAAGAUACACUGUUAUCUAAUUAAGUGCAAUGAAUCACACUGAACAAGGGAUUGUUAUCAGUACAAGAGGGCUAGUAAUUGGAGUAAGGUUUUAAGAAGCAGCACAAAAGAAACAGAGUAUCUCCAAUGAGUUCCAGAAAGGGAACUUGACUGGCCCAGAGUCCUAGUCCUUAACAGUGGAGGGGAAAGGAAGGCAUUCACAUUCAUCUCCUUGAAUCUGCCUAACAUCCCUGCAAAGUAAGCCUUCUUUCAUAGAGGAAGACACUGAGGUUCAAAGAGGUUUCGCUGCUGGUGCAGAGUAAAGCCAGGACUCAAACCCAGGCCUAUCAAAUCCCAACACCUGAAGCCAUCCAGCUCUCACGGGUGAAUGACUUCAAGGAGCACUACUCACCAGGAUCAUCUAACUCCCUGGAUCUUGACAGCAUAUUCUCUAUGGAAAUUUCUAAUAUAGCUUUGAUUCCCCAAAGAGGUUUCAUACAAAGAAAAUGAGAGAUUAUGGUUCACCCAGUAGUUCUGUAACAUUUCCUAUAAAGUAUCAGCAAUAAUAAUUCAAGUAGUUAUAGUAAUGGGAGUAACUGCCAACAUUUACUGAGCACUUACUAUGACAAACACUUCUCUUUUCUAUCUAUAAUCACUCCUUUGUGAUCUUACCUAAUUCCAUGACUUUAAAUACCAUUUAUACUAAUGAUCCCCAAAUCCUUACCUUUAGCUUGGACCUUUUCCAAAUGCCUACCCAAUAUCCCCACUUGCAUGUCUAUUCAGUAUCUCAAACUAAACACAUCUGAAACCAAACUCUUGAUUCCAUCCCUUAAUCCUCCUCCUCCCCCUACAUCUCCACAUCACAGUAAAUGACAGAACCAUCCUUCCAGAUGCUCAGGCCAAAAACCUUAGAGUCAUCUUUGACUCCUCUUUCUCUCAAACUCCACAUCCAACCAAUCCAUCAGCAAAUCCCAUCAGCUCUACCUUCAAAAUAUAUUCAGAUCCAAUCACUUCUCACCACUGCCACCACCAAGCACUCAAAAUUUACUCAACUUACUGAUAAUGUCAUUUUAAUCUUCAUAAUAACCCUGUGAAAUUGGUGCUACUACUUCCUCCAUUUUUCAGAGGCACAUAAAGGUUAAGUACAAAUUAACAAACUGAGAUUAUAGUUUACCAAUCAGGUCUUUCUUUUUGAGUUUAUAGAGUCAGAUGCCUGGAAUCUCCCCAGUAUCAGAUCGGGGGUAAAGAUCCCACUCUUUACCCCCAUCAAAGGGAUCUAAUUACCUUCCUGAACUUACAACGACUUGGACCCAUACAAGACCAGUCCAGAGAGAGCUGGAGUUCCCUGAGGAACCUGAGGGUGACAGCUGGGUCUUAAGGACUCUGGAUCCCUACCAUAUCCUGGAACAUGACAGACAAAGAAUAAAGAAGGAAUCCGCUAAGUUGCAAGCUGAGGUGCAGACAAGUGCUGGUUCACAGUGACAUCCUAGAAGGAAUGCUCUGGAUAAGAGCUUCAAGCUUCUGUGGUUUUCUGAGGAAAGUGAACGGAAUCUAGACGUGUCCUAUAGCUCAAAAAAUCAGCGCUAUGGACCACAGCGCCUAACAGAGUAAAAUAAUACACUGUGCAGUUUGGCCACUAACAGCAAGAGUGGGAAGGGGCGAAGAGGAACCUUGAUUGCCCGACACCAGGGCCACCUGAAAAGUCAUCUUGACACUUCAGUCUUUCCAUUUUGAGAUCGGAAGCUUUAAGGACCAUUAAAUCGCUGCCGCUGCCACACCAGGCCCGACGGAGCAGAAAGGCUGCGCUCACCUGCGGAAGCGACCGGGUGCACACCUGCCGGGUGGCGAGGCCCGCACCGUCACACCCCGCCCCGGCUUACCUGCCCUUCGGUGAUUUUUAGCGUCAACUUCCAUCCCUUCCCACCCAUCUGGAUCCAACCAAGCGCAAGGGCGGGGGAGGGAGAAGCUAGUGUCGCGAGGAAAAGCAUCCCCGCAACCCACCGCAGGCUUUCUCUCCUUCCUCCCCAUUCCACACAAGAGGCAGCCACACCGCCUCUCCUAACCCUCGUCUCCAAUGCAAGGCCUGAAAUACUUAGAAAAAAUAAUAACUGUUUUUAAGGAAAAGUAACAUCCCCGCUCCCUUCC
rnacentral:lncRNA from 1 species